rnacentral:lncRNA from 1 species
AUCAUUCACUGACAAAUUCUCUAGACACAUCCUUUGUUAAUCUGGAAGCCUUAAGAGAAAGCACCCCUCUCCCUGCUCAGGACCAGUUGUGCGAAAUUAAAGAAAGGAUCCAAUUAGAGGCUGGGGGCCUUCUUUAUCACCCUGAUACCUUCAACCAGACCACAGACCCCCAAAAUCAUCUGACAUUAACAUGGCACCAGAGGCUUGCCUCUAGCUGCAGGUAUCUUCUUGUUCGUCUGCUAGAAGAUAGAACGAAAAAGGAGCUCCUGACCUGUGUGGAAUCAUUCAGUAUUUUGCAGGCUCCUAUCUUCAUGGCUGCAAGGACUAACAAAUGCCUAUUUAAAAACAUUUAUUUUUCAUUGUCGUAGAGGAACAUGGGCAGCCCAGAGCUAUCAAGGGCUGCCCUGAAUAUUGAUCUGAGAGCACCCAGUCUAGACAGUCCCAGCAUGAGAUCCUCUGGAUCCCCUCUGCUCCUCUCUACAACAAAAGGAGAAUACAAUGGGAAAAUGUGGUGCUGGAAGCAAGUUACCAUAUAGCUAAGACUGCAGAGCUUCAAGUCUUCAAUCAAGUAAGGACAACCUCAGGAAUGAUGCUGUAUAUCAGUUGGGACAGGCCUUGUGUCCUGCUCUCAGUGGAUAAGAACAAUUCUACCAUGUUUUCACAAGUCUUUGAGAGGAUAUUGGUACUAGGUGAUAUGGAUGGUACCCAGUGUGUAAGGCAAAAAAUUUAUCACAGGCAUUUUCUUCUUGUGUGAAUUUUGAGAGAGAGUUCUAAGGAUAUGUCCUCAAUUAAUUGUCCUGUUUACCUUCACAAAGUUUUCAUUAUCUGACUUCCCUACUUUGGCGGUGCUUGGUGGUCCAAGCCUGACUUU